rnacentral:rRNA from 1 species
CAGAGGGGGCAAGCGUUGUUCGGAAUUACUGGGCGUAAAGGGCGCGUAGGCGGCCUGCUAAGUCGAACGUGAAAUCCCUGGGCUCAACCCAGGAACUGCGUCCGAUACUGGUUGGCUUGAAUCCGGGAGAGGGAUGUGGAAUUCCAGGUGUAGCGGUGAAAUGCGUAGAUAUCUGGAGGAACACCGGUGGCGAAGGCGACAUCCUGGACCGGUAUUGACGCUGAGGCGCGAAGGCCAGGGGAGCAAACGGGAUUAGAUACCCCGGUAGUCCUGGCCCUAAACGAUGAAUGCUUGGUGUGGCGUGUAUCGAUCCCUGCCGUGCCGAAGCUAACGCAUUAAGCAUUCCGCCUGGGGAGUACGGUCGCAAGGCUG